AUGUGUAGGAUAGGUGGGAGGCUUUGAAGCGUGGACGCCAGUCUGCGUGGAGCCGACCUUGAAAUACCACCCUUUAAUGUUUGAUGUUCUAACGUGGACCCGUAAUCCGGGUUGCGGACAGUGUCUGGUGGGUAGUUUGACUGGGGCGGUCUCCUCCUAAAGAGUAACGGAGGAGCACGAAGGUUGGCUAAUCCUGGUCGGACAUCAGGAGGUUAGUGCAAUGGCAUAAGCCAGCUUGACUGCGAGCGUGACGGCGCGAGCAGGUGCGAAAGCAGGUCAUAGUGAUCCGGUGGUUCUGAAUGGAAGGGCCAUCGCUCAACGGAUAAAAGGUACUCCGGGGAUAACAGGCUGAUACCGCCCAAGAGUUCAUAUCGACGGCGGUGUUUGGCACCUCGAUGUCGGCUCAUCACAUCCUGGGGCUGAAGUAGGUCCCAAGGGUAUGGCUGUUCGCCAUUUAAAGUGGUACGCGAGCUGGGUUUAGAACGUCGUGAGACAGUUCGGUCCCUAUCUGCCGUGGGCGCUGGAGAACUGAGGGGGGCUGCUCCUAGUACGAGAGGACCGGAGUGGACGCAUCACUGGUGUUCGGGUUGUCAUGCCAAUGGCACU
rnacentral:rRNA from 1 species